rnacentral:rRNA from 1 species
GACGAACGCUGGCGGCGUGCUUAACACAUGCAAGUCGAACGAUGAACCCGGAGCUUGCUCCGGUGGAUUAGUGGCGAACGGGUGAGUAACACGUGAGUAACCUGCCCUUGACUCUGGGAUAACUGCGGGAAACUGUAGCUAAUACCGGAUACGACCCUCGGCGGCAUCGCCAGGGGGUGGAAAGAAUUUCGGUCAAGGAUGAACUCGCGGCCUACCAGCUAGUUGGUGAGGUAACGGCUCACCAAGGCGACGACGGGUAGCCGGCCUGAAAGGGUGACCGGCCACACUGGGACUGAGACACGGCCCAGACUCCUACGGGAGGCAGCAGUGGGGAAUAUUGCACAAUGGGCGCAAGCCUGAUGCAGCAACGCCGCGUGAGGGAUGACGGCCUUCGGGUUGUAAACCUCUUUUAGUAGGGAAGAAGCGAAAGUGACGGUACCUGCAGAAAAAGCACCGGCUAACUACGUGCCAGCAGCCGCGGUAA